AGUGGUGCUGUUGUUGCUGCUGCUACUUUGCCAGCUGCCUGACACUUCAGUUGUUUCUUAAAAGCCGGUCGAAGCUGUUGUUUAGGUUCGGUAGUGUGCGUUCGAUGUUGGAAUUUUUAUUUAUUGGUGCUCGCUACCAAAAACAAGAAUAACAACACACACACACACACACACUCAUGUAAAUACAUGCAGUUGAUGUGAGAAAAAAGUGAAGUGCAUACGAAAAAAAUUCGAUUGAAACGAAUUAAUAAAGUACAUAUGUAUGUAUAUAUGUACGUUCACAAAGAGCGCGAUACAUGGGAUUGAAAAAGUAAAGAAAUAAAAUUGGCGCUAAACAAAAAAGAAAGCAAAAUAUGAAAUAGAAAAAAUAAAAAUAAAAAUAAAUUAUUUUGUUUACAUUUUCGCGCUGCUCCCAUUAUAUUACAUAUAUUUCUUCUAUGUAAUUAUAUUUAACCAUAAGAGGAAGCGUUUAAUAUCAAACACGAAUACGAAAUUUAAAAGUAAAUAAGCAUUUGCCGAAAUAAAGGUAACUAAGCAAACGGAGAGAAAGAAACAAGCAGUAAUUACAGUGAAAUGAAGUGAAGUGAAGUGAGUGAAGAAAGAAAGUAACACAACACUAGUGUGUGCUUGGGUAGCGAAAAGCAGUGGAAACGCAAGCAAAGCAAAGUAAGAAAAUGUAACGUGGAGUAGAUGUGGAAGUGCAAAUGCAGUUCAACUAAAUAUGUACGCAUAUACAUACAUACAUACAUACAUACAUACAAGCAAAUGUAUUUAAAUAAAUGUGUACAGUGAUGUACUUUGCAAUUGCUAUAAAUUUAUUUAAUUGGAGUAGGCAACAAAUGAAGUGAAAUAAAUAAAUGUAAGAAACAAAAGAGAAAACAAGAAAAAAAAAACUAUUUCAGUAAGCACAAAACGAGUUCAAAAUUAUUCUCAGUGUGUGUGUGCAAAAACUACUUAUUUUAAAAAUAAAGUAGCAAAAUAAAUAAAUUAAAUAAGUGAAAUUAGCGUUUGCGGAAGAGGCAAUUAAUGUAAAGUGAAAAAUUAAAAAAAAAAGUUAUAUCAACUGAAUUAAAUGCAGUACUAUGCCAAUUAUCAUCCUGUGCUAUUGUGUGCUAUACAAGUUAAUUAAUAUUCAUGGAAAUUAAAAAGAAAUUCUCAUUAAUUUUGGAGUAAAAAUAUUCAAUGCAAAACAUGCACAUAUGUACGAGUAUGUACAUAUAUACCAUAUACUAAGAGUCAUCGUACAUACAUAAAUAUAUAAUAUGCUGAUGUAGCAGUUAAUCUUUAGUUCAACUCUAAAGAAAAAGUAAAUAAUUCGCAGUAAAGUGCUAACGGAAAACGUGUUAUUUAAGCUGUAUAAAUAAAAUACAUUUGUAUGUAUAUUUGUAUUUACUGGUGGUGCUUUUUUAAAGCUAAAGCUGCAACAACGAGUGUCAAAUGAAAGUCAUUUAUAAGCAGUUCAUUUUCUUCUAAGAUUAUGAGCAUGUGAUCAUCACAAAAUAAGUGCUAAGAAUUUUUUAGUAUUUCCACAAACUCAAUACAAGUACCAUUCGGUUGAAACGUGAGCUGUGUUUAACUAACGGUGGAAAGCAGCUGUUGCGCAUACAAACAUACUUGGCUAACACAUUUCCUUACAAUAAAUGCACACAAAUGUGCAAGAUUAUCCGCAAAUAUGUAAAAAUGCCAAUGUCAACAGUGAAACAACAACUGCCGCAACCAUAUUUACUACACCAACAACAACUACUACUUCUGUAGCACAUAAAACGGAAUAAAAGCAGGAAAUCACAUUUUGAGAUUUAUACCAGCCAAACAACACCGCAAUAAUCAAAUAACAACAACAAUAUAAAAAUCGAAAGAGCAACAAUUCCAAGUAAGUGCUUUGACCGCCUACUUAUUCAGAUAUCCGUAUUUGUACGUGAUGUGCAAGCUUUUAUGCAAGCCUUGAGUGAUAUGCAAAUUGCAAAGUGACACAGUAUUGCUGCCACAAAGAAUAAUCAAUAAUUAAGCCAGCCAACAAUCAGCAUACCCACGCCUACAAGCACACCAGCGCUGCCACGCACAGCACAAAGGAGUGUCGACAAGGACGUUAAUUAAUCACAAACUUGCGGUGGGGCAGCUACAGGAAGCAAACGAAACACUGCCACAAGUACACACCACAUAACACAUCAAAUAAACGAAACCAUCAACAAAACGCCUGUUAAAACAACAACAACAACAACAGGAGCAAGAAAGGGCAGUAGUAGAGGGGACGUGAGUCACCAGCUUUGUUGAAGCCUGCCUAACUCAAACUGACAGCGUGUUUUGAGGCAUAAAGCAUACAACUAACGGUGAGAGCAACGUAUGAAGCUUUAGACGUAUUUGGGCGAGCUUGCCACAUCAACGAGUCGCAGAGCUGAGCGCACAAAAUACGCCUGUUGCUGACACCAACAGCCAAUUAUCGUAGUGAUAGAAGAUAUUUGCGCUUAAAAACCAUACAAAAUACAGACAAACAUACACAUCACACAUGAUGUUAAGCCAUAGAAGUAAAGGUGCCACGACGUGUCGUAUAGAUUGCAGCAACAAAAUGUACGAUCAACCCUGUAGAACAUUUUGUAGACGCCGCAGCAGUAAGCAAACAAUAAAAAAAUCGCACAACAAGCACAGCGCUGUAUCGGCGCAACAACAACAGUACCGCCAAUAUACCCCCCACUCUUCCACAACCCUGCUCUUACUGCUAACACAAGCGCUCUUCCUGCUGUUGCUCCUCGUCAGCAUAUCGCCCACAGAUGGCAACCCCGAUUGGAUGCAACACUGCAGCAUGUGUCAUUGCAAUUGGAAUUCGGGUAAAAAGACGGCCGACUGUAAAGCGCGCUCACUCAAAGCCAUACCAAACGAUCUGAGCAACGAAAUGCAGGUGGUGGAUUUCUCGAAUAAUCACAUACCCGAGUUGCGACGCGAAGAGUUUGCCGAUGCGAAUCUACAAAAUCUGCAUAAGAUCUUCUUACGCAACUGUACGAUACAAGAAGUGAAUCGCGACGCGCUCAAAGGUCUCACCAUACUCAUCGAGCUGGAUAUGUCGCAUAAUUUUAUAGGCGAACUACAUGUGGGCACCUUCAGCGGUUUGGAGAAAUUGCGUACGCUCGUCAUGAAUCACAAUGAGAUUCAGGUUUUGGAAAAUUAUCUCUUUGUCGAUCUGCCCUUCCUUUCACGCGUCGAAUUCAAGAAUAAUCGCCUGAAGCAAGUCGAAGUGCAUACUUUCGGCCAACAGCCCAUACUGUCAGCAAUCUACUUAGAGGCCAACUCAUUGCAUGUGCUACGCAAGGAGACCUUCACACGCAUACCCAAAUUGGUGCAUCUGUCGCUAACGCAAAACCCCUGGAACUGCACCUGUGAGUUGCAAGCCUUCCGCGACUUUGCAAUCGCCAAACGCCUGUACACACCACCCACAGACUGCGCACAACCAGCCGCGUUACGUGGCAAACUAUGGACCGACAUACCGUCGGAAAACUUCGCCUGCCAGCCACACAUACUCGGCUCGGUGCGUUCGUUUGUUGAAGUACAAUCGGAUAAUAUUACAUUGCCGUGUCGUGUGGAAGGCUCACCGCGUCCCAACAUAACCUGGGUAUAUAAUCGACGGGCCAUCAAUCCCAACGAUCAACGUUUUCUCAUACGCAAUUCUUUGGAACAGCCGCCGCUCAUCAGUUCCGAUCCCAUUGAGUCGAUCACCUCCGAGUUGCGCAUAUUCAAUGUACGUGCCAGCGAUAAAGGUGUAUACACUUGCAUUGCGGAGAAUCGUGGCGGCAAGGGGGAAGCGGAAUUUCAACUGAUCGUCGAUGGUGACUUCUUUGGCGCACUCGAAGGCAUAGCUGGCGGUGUAGGCGCUUCCACCACGGACACCCAAUCGAAUUUUCUGCUCGUCAUCUGUUUAAUUGUCAUCACCGUGCUGCUGAUACUCAUGUGUGUGCUGCUAUUGGCCUGUUGGUGGUGUCGGCGUGCGCGUUCCUAUCAAAAGGACACCACAAUGAUGAGUGAAAAUGGUUUGAUCUCUACGAAAAUGGAUAAGACGAAUAGUUCAAUGCUUGAGGGUUCGGUGAUAAUGGAAAUGCAAAAGAGUCUACUAACAGAAGUGAAUCCGGUUGAGAAGCCACCGAGACGCACGGAAUUGGAAAAUGUUGAUGGCAGCGAUGAGGGGCAUGAAAUCAAGAAGACACUACUGGAUGAAUCACAAUUCGGCAAUCACCCGCGCGACGAUGAAACCCACUCGGUCGCCCUGUCGGAUACCACCGCGCCACGCGUACGCCACACAUACAUCGACGACACGUACGGCACCAGUCUGCCACCAGACUUGCUCGCCUUCCCCGCACGAGUGCCGCCCACCUCACCAUCGAUGCAAUCCUCGCACAGCAAUAUACCGGAACAAAUCAUCUACGGCAUACGCUCACCACCACUCACCAGCCCGGUGUAUGCGCAUAUGACGCCGCAUGGCAUUUACGGCACCACAACCAUCGCUGCCGCUACUCCAAAUGGUUUCAUGACUUUGCAGCAUCCGAAAUCACGCAACUUGGCACUCAUUGCAGCCGCCAAUAAUCGUCAACAGCUACAGCAACAGCAACAUAUGCAUGCAGUUGCCGCCCACCUCCCGCCACAACAUGGCGUACACCAUCAGCAGCAAUCACCCUUCAUGCCCGCGCCUGUUAUGUACUCACCCACCACAGCGGUGGUGAUGAAACAAGGCUAUAUGACUAUACCACGCAAACCGCGUGUGCCCAGUUGGGCGCCAUCCACCUCGACCGCAAACGCGACACAGUUAAGCGAGUUCCAAUCGCCCACAUCGCCAAAUCCCAGCGAAUCUGGCACCGCCACAACAGCGGAACUGCAAGCGGAGCCGGUCUACGAUAAUCUUGGACUGCGCACAACGGCUGCCGGCAACUCCACGUUAAACUUACAUAAAUUACAUCCGGAGGCGAGUAGUGGCACUGGUGGCGCUUCAACUUCCACGCGUUAUACAAUGCGCGAUCGGCCAUUACCGGCAACGCCGAGCCUUACGUCGGUCGCCUCGUCUAGCGCGUCGACAGCUAUGCAGCAGCAGCAACAACAACAACAACAAGUGCAACAGCAGCAGCAAACGCCCACAAAACAAAAGCCUGUAUUGCCGAGCACUUCAGCGGCAGCAGUGGCGUCGGCAUCGAAAAUUUACGAGCCCAUACACGAUCUGGCGCAUAAUCAUCAUCAACUGACAACGACCUCCGAUACGGAGCCGCUUUAUGGUACAGCGCGAAAUCACAACGGUCUCACCAUAGUGCCGAGCGCUAUCAAUAUGAAUGGUGGCGUUGGUGGUGGCGGCGCAGUUAACGGUGCACUCAAUAUAUCCAACAGCGCCAAUACGUCGACGACGGGUGGUGAGCCCACGAAGGUGGCGAAAAUACCGCCACGUCCACCACCAAAACCGAAGAAGAAGAUGUCGGUAACAGCGAUACGUGGCGGCCAAGGCAGUACCAGCCAACUGUUCGAUGACGAGGGUGAGGAUGGCACUGAAGUUUAGUUGCAUGAAAUGCAGGGCGGCGACAGCGUAGGCAACAAAAACAAUGACGACGCCACCUAAAACUUUGUAAAAAUAUAUACAUAUAUGGCAGCGAAUAACGGUAUUUAGUAUUGUACGCCGCGGCGUCUGAUAAUAAAACAUGGCGCGCAGCGAAAAGCAAUGAAUGCGUACAUUAAUUAUUAAUUGGACAAGAAUUUGGGAAACAAAGAAAGAAAGAAAAAACCCACAAAAGUUAAGAAAACAAGUUUUUGUUUCACGAAAAGAUGAGCGUACUAGAAAAGAGAGCGUCAUCAAACGGAAGUGUGGAGUGUGAAGAAAAUGUAAAAUUACUGGUGUUGCCAACGGGAGGAGGUGGUAAAUUUGGAACUAUUUUUUGGUGCAACGAACCAAUAAUACAAUACACAUACUCAUGCAUACAUAGAAUUAUAUAUGUUUAUUUUUCCCUAUCGUUUAUACCAUAUACAUAUUACCAUAUUUUUAUUUUAUUACUUUAACAAAAAAACUGAAAAAAAUGUAUCAUGCGAUUUUUUUUUUCAUUGCACAUAUUUUUUACGAUACAAAUGUAAGUACAGUAUCAUUAUGUACAUUGUUAGCUAGGCAUAUACUAUACAUAUAUUUAUAUAUUUGUAAAAAAAAAUUAAUUAGAGAUAAAACGAAAAACAAAAAUGAAAAUUAAAACGAAAAUUAAGAUCUACAUGCAUACAUACAUAGUUUUAGUAAAGUUUAACUUUGGUAGUAUUUUAAGCGAAAUUAUCAAUUUAUAGACGAAAUGUGUAAAAGUUAUGAAGAAGCAGUUGUUUUAGGUGUAAGAAGAAGCAGUGAUGUAUGUAUGUAAGUAGAUAAGUACAUAAGUGUUGAACUAAGCAUACAAUAAGUACAUAUUUUAUUGCUAGUACAUACAUAUGUAUGGGCAUAGGUAUAAUUAGUAGAAAAAAAAUAAAUAAAUAAAAAAAUAUUUAUAAAUAUACGAUGAAAUAGAGAAUAAAGCUGAAAGAACGGCAUAUAAGCAAGUGAUUGUUGGGUUAAAAGCAGAAAAGCGUUAAAUAUUUAUAUAAAAUUUUCAAGUAAACAGACUAUUAGGUACAUACAUAUGUACAUACGUGUGUUAACUACUACAAAGAUUAAUGUAUGUAAUUACAGACAAACAUUCAUAGAUAUGUGGGGUGGGAGUAUAGCAUAAAUAUUUGUAGAUAAAGUAAAUUUAGCGCCUAAAUUUCUAAUAUUUUUAAAUAAAUUUUUUUUUAAAUAUUUUAGUUUAUGCAAACGCCUUUACAAAUUCGCCGCAUUCAUAUAUGUAGAACAGCUUUUAUUGUAAAAAAAUAAAAAAAAUAAAAAAAUAGAAAUAAAUAUAAAAAUAAAAACAAAUUAAAAAAUAGUUUAUUUAUGUAAAUAAACAAAUAAACACAAUUGCAUAAUUUAUUAAUAUGUAUGCAAGUAAAUUUUGCUGAAUUCUAUAGAUGAUAUGACACUUAUAAAAGAUUGUACAUAAAAAUUAAAUUUUUUUUAACUAAUUAUGAAUACAAAAAAUUAAUAAUUAAAUGACACAAAAUGACGAAAUCGAGGGAGCUCGAAAAGUUUGUAUGAAAUUAUUGCAAGAAAUUAAUAAAAUUCUCAUAUGCAAGCAAAUAUAUGUACAUGUAAACAUAAUAACAGAAAGUAUUAUUGAUUUGUAUAUAACAGAUACACGUACAUACAACUGCGUACAUGCAACAUACAGACCAGUUAGCUACAUAUAUAACGCAAUACAAGCGGCAGCAAAAUUUACUUAGUGCUCGACAUACAUACAUACAAGUUCAUAUUUUGCUACUUCGCUAAUUAUUUGUUAUAAUUUACC